rnacentral:lncRNA from 10 species
CAGACAGACAGAUGGGAAUGGUUAACACUGUCCCAUGAAACUGAGGUAGUAAGAUAAGGACUUAAAAUUGUGUAUUGUAUUUGGCAACAUAGAAGCCAUUGAUUACCUUUGCUAGAGUUAUUGGAGUUAUGGGAGCAGAGGUAGACUGCAGCGAGUUGACAAGUGAAUGGGAGGUAAGGACAUGAAGGCAAGAGAAGAACAGUAGUUAAGAACAAGAGCUACACUACCUGGGGUUCAGAUUCUGGCUUUGCCACAUACUAUAUGACUUACUUAGCCAUACUCUUAAUCUGUCUUCGUUUCACUUCCCUCAUAUGUAUAAUCCUUAUAUCUACCUUAGAGGGUUGUUGUGAGGAUUACAAUUUGCUAAUAUAUGUGAAGCAUUGAGAAGAGAGCCAGGCACAUAGUAAGUGCUAGGUAUGCUGACUAUUGAUAUUAUACAUUUAAUUUCAGGACUUGGCUGAAAAAAAGAGGGAGCAGUAGCUUGAGAUAGAUACAGGUCAAAUGGAGGUUUUUUCCUUAGUUUCUUCUUUCUUCCUUCCUUCCUUCACAUGGAAGAGAGGUGCAAACAGACAAAAGGAAUAGGUUAAAGGUAAAAGAGAGGUACUAAUUGAUAGAACAAGGUCCCAGAGAAUUGCCUGGAGUGGGGCAGGAGAGAUGGGCUCAAUGGUGAGUGAGUCAAGAGUGUAAAUGUAGUAGGUGACUCUGAACAAGUUAAGAACAUUCCUCUUUAGAGGAUGGUGAGGAGAAUAGGAAGGAUAUAUGUAAGUAAG